CUUGGCUAAGGUGUCUUGGCUAAUGUGUCUCGGCUAAUGUGUCUUGGCUAAGGUGUCUUGGCUAAUGUGUCUCGGCUAAUGUGUCUUGGCUAAGGUGUCUUGGCUAAUGUGUCUUGGCUAAGGUGUCUCGGCUAAUGUGUCUUGGUUAAUGUGUCUUGGCUAAGGUGUCUUGGCUAAGGUGUCUUGGCUAAGGUGUCUUGGCUAAUGUGUCUUGGCAAAGGUGUCUUGGCUAAUGUGUCUCGGCUAAUGGGUCUUGGCUAAGGUGUCUUGGCUAAUGUGUCUCGGCUUAUGCGUCUUGGCUAAUGUGUCUUGGCUAAGGUGUCUUGGCUAAGGUGUCUUGGCUAAUGUGUCUUGGCUAAUGUGUCUUGGCUAAGGUGUCUUGGCUAAUGUGUCUCGGCUAAUGUGUCUUGGCUAAUGUGUCUUGGCUAAGGUGUCUUGGCUAAGGUGUCUUGGCUAAGGUGUCUUGGCUAAUGUGUCUUGGCUUAGGUGUCUUGGCUAAUGUGUCUCGGCUAAUGUGUC